rnacentral:rRNA from 1 species
UACAGAGGUCUCAAGCGUUUGUUCGGAUUCAUUGGGCGUAAAGGGUGCGUAGGUGGCGCUGUAAGUCGGGUGUGAAAUUUCGGAGCUUAACUCCGAAACUGCAUUCGAUACUGCGGUGCUUGAGGACUGGAGAGGAGACUGGGAAUUCAUGGUGUAGCAGUGAAAUGCGUAGAGAUCAUGAGGAAGACCGUGGCGAAGGCGGGUCUCUGGACAGUUCCUGACACUGAGACACGAAGGCCAGGGGAGCAAACGGG